rnacentral:rRNA from 1 species
AAGCUCGUAGUUGAAAUUUCGGGGUUAGUAGGUUGGGUCAUGCCUCUGGUAUGUACUGGUCUCACUGAUUCCUCCUUCCUGAUGAACCGUAAUGCCAUUAAUUUGGUGUUGCGGGGAAUUUGGACUGUUACUUUGAAAAAAUUAGAGUGUUUAAAGCAAGCUAACGCUUGAAUACAUUAGCAUGGAAUAAUGAAAUAGGACGUUCGAUCCUAUUUUGUCGGUUUCUAGGAUUGACGUAAUGAUUAAUAGGGAUAGUUGGG